GGGCCCCGCACAAGCAGCGGAGCGUGUGGUUUAAUUCGAUGUUACACGAAGAACCUUACCAGGGUUUGACAUGCAAGUGGUAGGAAGCCGAAAGGUGACGACCCUUCGGGGAGCUUGCACAGGUGCUGCAUGGCUGUCGUCAGCUCGUGCCGUGAGAUGUUCGGUUAAGUCCGCUAACGAGCGCAACCCUCGCUGUGUGUUAUAUGUGUCACACGGGACUGCCGGUCUUAAGCCGGAGGAAGGUGGGGAUGAUGUCAAGUCAGCAUGGCCUUUAUAUCCUGGGCUACACACACGCUACAAUGGCCAACACAAUAGGUUGCUAAGCCGCGAGGUGGCGCCAAUCCAUAAAGUUGGUCUCAGUUCAGAUUGUAGGCUGCAACCCGCCUGCAUGAAGAUGGAGUUGCUAGUAACCGCAGGUCAGCUAUACUGCGGUGAAUACGUUCCCGGGGCUU
rnacentral:rRNA from 1 species